UUUCACUUGGGAGUCCCUUAAAUCCAAUUUACGUUUAUCUACUCUCUCAUUGUUCGGGUAUAAAACAUUUGGCAAACAUGAACUGAAAAUAGGGAACAGAAGAAGAGGCAUGUCAGCCAUUGUGGAUUAUUUUAGUCUCCCCCCUCUGAAUAAACGAUGGAGUAACUAAGGUCAACUUUCUGAAUGAAAACCUUUUUCAAGGACCAAAACUGUCUGAUUUCGAUCGUCCCAAAGAAACUUUCCAACAAAAUCGAACAAAAUUAAAAAUAAACACGAAACGAGAUAUCUAAAUGGCAGCAACGACACACCCAAAAAGAGACGAAAAACUGUAUGUAACUACAGCAAAAUGGAAUUGAAACCUAGCCAGUCAGAAAAGAGAGGAGGGCAAGUUCUUCCAUACCACAGAACGUCAACAGCUGCACGAAAGCAAAAAGCAGCUCACGGAAAUAAGAGAUUGUCAAAAAAAGAAGCUGAAACGAAUAUCCAGAAAUAUCGGGACAACAGCCAUUUGUAAACAGAAAAACGACCGUGGGCCAGUGGCCAGAACAUAGAAGAAAAAAGGAAGGAAAGUCAGCAUUUGGUUUAUAAUAUCGUAAGGAUCUUCUUAGAUCAAUAUGCGUAAAAGGGCGUGCCCGGCUGGCCUUCUCUUCUCGCUCUGUCAAACCAAAUCAAUCGGACAAAAAGUACUCACCCAAACAUCGUGAUAAUAUUCUGUCAGUUGGCCAGAAUUUCCUUCUUGGUCAGAGAUGAAUAGAUUCAACUGAAAGGAGGAAAAAUCUUUCGGCGAAUGGAAUCAAGAUUUCUUAUUGACCAAGAGAUUCAGCAAAACUCCGCCUGUGUCAACCACUAGCUAUCUAUCUCGCUUCGUAUGUUCCAGUAAGUACAAGCUCUACACUGUUUUAAGAGAUAAAAAGAUGACGUUGGCUUAUAAUACGGUAAAUGAAUCGAGCUUACAUGAAAAGAAAACGGUUACGAAGGGACCCGAUUCCACGAAUUCCGGCCACGUUCCGCCACUCAUGAAGGCUGAGUGGAGUUGAAUCCUCCUACAAAACAACAAACGGCUUCCCUUCUUAGUUGGCAGUUUGUUCGACAAACAAGAGCCGCUGUCUUGGUUCUCUUCCCUGUUCUGUGUGUGUCAACAGGAAUCUGAGUCCAGGCCGGAGGCACAGUGGCCAGGGAUUCUUAUCCGUUCGCCACACACAGUGGUCAUAAUCCAUGUAGCUAGUUGCUGUGCCUCGCGUUCAACUCGGAUUUCGGAAGUUGUAUUUAAAAAAGAGAGAGAUCUAAUCAGGCGAUCGAUAAUUCCCAACUUUCAUCAUCCGCUAAAGGCGGAAUUCCAUGAAACUGAUACCUCCCACAAAUGUUUGAAACAGAUUUGAUUCUCAACCUUGAGGCGACGGCGCUUUAUGGAUCCAAGGCUACAUCAGAAAGACCUCAUUAUGGAGUUUGCAUCAUACGCUCAUCUAAGGAAGACUCUGCCUCAUCAUCUCCGUGUGACCGAGAGAAUCGUCGACGCUGUGAAUGACAAUGAGAUCCGUAGUGGGACUACUAUUCUCAAGUACAUGUUGAAAAACAUUUUCAAGGAGAUUGCAGCUGAAUAUCAAGAUCUGCAACUCAAAUUGUCGUCAACUUGGAAGGUGAAAAGGUGUUGAGCGUAUCACUCCAUAUUUUAACGAGAUGAAAUUCCAAUGAUAUAUGAUGGUUGCCAAGCAAAUCAUAAACGACUACAACAUCGAUCGAUCUCUUUUUCAACGUCCUUGCUCUUCGUGGACAAUAAAAUGGGACGUCUGGAAAAUCGUCAUAUUUGUGGAGCUGGGGAUCGAAUCGAUCCAAGUGUCAAGUCAAUGCCUUCGUCAAAAACCUCAGAAAAACAAAGCCAAAAUAAAUGAAGGUUUCAGGCGAUUGUGUUCCUUAAGAAACACGCAGAACAAUAGACGAUAUAGCUUCCCAGUGGCUCAUCCGUCGACGAAAGGAUUGCCAAUCGCUGCAGAUGACUUUUCACACAAGAUUUUCUAUAGUUCUUUCAUAUACUGGACGAUUGCGAUUGAUUACAAUUUUUCAUCAAAACGGAAACAACUGAAGCGAAAAGAAGACACUCUCCACCGUCGCUAUGAGACUCGUUAAUAAACAGUGCGUGAAGCCAAAAAGUUGAGUGGUUUUAUCGAACGGAUGACGGGUUUUCGACUCGUUAUGAUAAUCAUAAAAGCGGAACCAAGAAGAAACUGACGAAACUGCUCUCUUCUAUAUUGUUUAUGUCACUCUCCGUCCCUCUGCCCCCCUUAUAAGAUGUCGCGAAGGACUCGGACGUCGUUUAUGUAAUAGGGAUACUCUUACCGCCAAAAAGAAGUCGUCGUUAGAAACGUAAUUCUAGCCAGCGGCGUGAAUUUCACUAGUGCGGUACGUACGGCUGUAUUCACGCACUGAUUUUGCGCAGAAUGGUCGCCCUCUCUAAACAAUUGAGAAACGCUAAGCUUCGGCUUUAUGUCUCAUUGUACAGUCAUGGACAAUAAGCGCAGGCCAAAAAAAAAAUACAUCUCUGCGAUGCGGUAGUGUCCUUUUCACGCUCCCUUUCGACUCUCUCUGUCCCCAGUUUCUUUCCCCUAUACGUACGCUGGCCGUUCAGCAGCAGUUGAGAGUCUCUUCCCCGAGCGCAAAGGAAACGAUCAAUACGAGGUGGUUGUCUCCCCAGUACAGAGAAAGAGAGAAAGCAAAUUAUUCUAUGCGUGCAUGAAAAAAGAAAAAAAAAGAGUCCAAAGUUAACUGAUGGAAAAUAAAGGGAAAAGUUUAAUAUUUUGUACGAUAUUAAGCUUUUUCUUUUCCAUAGUUUUCUGUUGUUGAAAAAGUCCCUUCUCUAAAUUGAUAAUAAUCCCUAGACGGCAAAGGUUGCAUUUUGUGUUUAAAGCUGUUGACAUUUAUGUCUCUUCAGCUUUGUUGUUGCUGAUUCUUUUACGUAUCCUGAAUGCGACUGCGUUGCAGUCUACAACGUAUUUUUUGAAAGGAUAAGAGUUGGCUAGCUCUAUCACGACUUCC